GCGAUGAUGGUGGUGGUGAUGGAGGUGGAGGGGCGAUGAUGGUGGUGAUGAUGGAGGUGGAGGGGUGAUGAUGGUGGUGGUGGUGAUGGAGGUGGAGGGGCGAUGAUGGUGGUGAUGAUGGAGGUGGAGGGGUGAUGAUGGUGGUGGUGGUGAUGGAGGUGGUGGAGGGGUGAUGAUGGUGGUGGUGAUGGAGGUGGAGGGGCGAUGAUGGUGGUGGUGGUGGUGAUGGAGGUGGUGGUGAGGGUGAUGAUGAUGGUGGUGGUGAAGACAGUGUUGGUGAAUAGUCAUUUCCCAAAAUAGUCAAUUAAACACUUCAACUCACAUAUUAGAGGCUUGAAAGGUCUCUACCGAUCUUCUCUGAGUCUUAGCUUCCUUUUGGGGGUCAAUAUUUGGUUAAUCUGAUCACAAAGAUGUUCUUCGAUUAAAACUUGAAAAGCACUUUCAAGAGAAAGAACAGAAGUGAAGUUGAAGCAACUGUUUAAGAUUGGUGUUUCUCUCCACCAAUGAGUUUUUAUUCUUCAUUAUUAUUUUCAUUCUAAUCAUGGUCACUGAAACCAUUUCAGAGUAUUAUAGGCAUCCAAGGAGGCCAAACAGCCAGUUCCUGGAGCCUCUCGUGAAGAUAUGAGACACUUUUUUAGUGAGGUUCAUAAACGUCUUGUUGCUGUUUUUCAGUCACUUAGUCAUGUCAGACUCUUGGCAACCAUGGGCUGCCAGCACGCCAGGCUUCCCUGUCCUUCACUAUCUCCCAGAGUUUGUUCAAACUCAACGUCCAUUGAGUCAGUGAUGCCAUCCAACUAUCUCAUCCUCUGUCACUCCUUUCUCCUCCUGCCCUCAAUCUUUCCGAGCAUCAGGAUCUUUUCCAAUGAGUCGGCUCUUUGCAUCAGGUGACCAAAAUAUUGUAGUUUCAGUUCAACACCAGUCCUUCCAAUGAAUAUUUAGGGUUGAAAAUGUCUAGGACAGAGAAGUGUGCCCUGUAAGGGCCUAUUACCAUAAAUAGAGAGAAAUCCUUGUCCUGUAUGGUUUUGUGUAACUGAGGAUGAGAUCCUCAUAGGCAGUUUAUUUGCAUUUCUCUUCCCCCACCUUCUGGGCUCAGCAUAGGAUUGAAUGGACCAGACCACUGUGUAGUCAGGUGUGAUCACGUGACUUUUUAACCAACGAGAUGUGAGGGGUGACAGGUGUCACUUCAGGACAGAAGCUAUAGAAGUCAGGGCAAGCUUCCCCAGGUCCCAUUACCUCCUGCUGCGGUGAGUGUGGGACCACGUACAGCAAAGACCCCGCCAUCCAGCAUCCAUAAAUGUCUACAAUUGAAGGACACCCUUGCAACCGACGAUGGACAAGAAAUGGGAUCAAGGAGCAAAAUUGUUAUUGUAAGUCACUGAGAUUUUGAUGGUUAUUUUCUAUUUUCAUAGCAUAACCUUCUCUACCAGAACAGAUACAACUGGCAAAGAGCCAAAACAAGAGAGUUGAAAGUCAGUGGUGGUCACAUGGGAAAGAAAGAAUCUACAUCUUUCUGAGAAUGAACCAAAUCCUCAAAAAGACUCUGUGAUCGAAUUGCUAACUCUGAGACAUUUAAUCGUUCCCUAGCGAAGGUCUCUUUGAGACAAAAAGCGCUCAGGAAAAAGGUUUGACAUGACCUGCAAGCAAUUGGAAGUCACCAUAACCCACUCGGAUGGCGAGGUAAUGUGGCGUCUCUUUGGCUGAGUUUUAUUUCCAACAAUACAGCACCUUCUCACCACUGUCCAGCAGACAGAUUCCUUCUCAUCUCAUCUGCAGAAUUGUUCAUUUAAAGACGGCACUGCUCAAGAUAUAAGCCUCCUUUAAGGAACUCUACUUUUAAGAAAACCAAGUCUCACAAAAUUAGUACAUUUCCACAUUCAAAGUGAGGUGGCAAAU
ensembl:lncRNA